UACAGAUGUCCACUCAGAUGCUCAUCAGCUGAGGAGAGACUUAUGCUUUGGAGGAAGUUGGAAAUCAAACUCUGGGACGAGAGGGGCUUACACCAGGAAGGGAAGAGUAACUGUUAACAAGAAUACCUAGAGAUGAAAAUACUGACCAGAAUGGUCAUCCCAGAGAUAACAACUAUAAACAAUAGGAGAACAAACGAACAAAGACUUCCUGGAAGCAAGGAGGCUGAACAAAGUUAAACAGAUUAUGGAGAGGAUUGGUUUGGAAGAGGGAAAUGGUUAAGGUUCUGGAGACUGAGAAGUCAAGAUUAAGGUGCUGGCAUAUUUGGAUCCUGGAGACAAUUAUGGGAUGUGCAUUGCCAAAACAAGGUGACAAACAAAGAAAUGUGGAAAACAUAGGAUCCAGGGAACAAGGAUCCAAUAGAACACAGUGGAAAAGGAAGGAAAUUCCCAGGAUGACUGUGAAGAGAAGUCCUAACAGUACAAGAGAUCUACAGUGCAAUCAGAAGGAUGGAGAUACCCA